AGGUUUUCACAGGCUGUGCUCACGUUCACGUGCAGCCUGACUGACUGAGGAUUACACCGACCGCCUGCACUUACAGUCCAGGAAAGAUCAGAAAC